UAAAUAACAAAUGUUUAAUUUUCAGUUCUGGAGGCUGGGGAAGUUCAAGAUCAAGGCACUGACAGAUCCUGUGGAAGCACAGUCUUGGUGUCUUUUUGAUCCAGCAAAUAUGCAUCUAAAGCUUUCCUUCUCACAUGAAGGCCAGAAGCUUUUUACAGUGCAGAAACCAAUCUAAGUUCCAUAACAACAGUGAAGGAGAGAGGAACAGAACAGUUGGUGUUUCCUCUGAGCAUGUGCAUCUCCUAAGUGGUGAAGGAUCUUGCAGGCCCAAGGCGACAGUUCUGCGCUUGAGGCUGAAGUGAGUGGAGGCUGUGUCUGAAUUCAGUAUCCUGCUUUCUUACGAGGAACCCAGCCUUCCCAAACCGACUAACAGCUAUUCUGCUACUUGCGCUUUUGUGUGUGUGUGUGUGUGUGUGUGUUUCUUAUGUGCCAGAGCAAGCACCUCAUACGCAUUUUAUAAUCUAAUUCUCAGAACAAA